rnacentral:rRNA from 1 species
AGUGAACGCUGGCGGUAGGCCUAACACAUGCAAGUCGAACGGCAGCACAGUAAGAGCUUGCUCUUACGGGUGGCGAGUGGCGGACGGGUGAGGAAUACAUCGGAAUCUACUUUUUCGUGGGGGAUAACGUAGGGAAACUUACGCUAAUACCGCAUACGACCUACGGGUGAAAGCAGGGGAUCUUCGGACCUUGCGCGAUUGAAUGAGCCGAUGUCGGAUUAGCUAGUUGGCGGGGUAAAGGCCCACCAAGGCGACGAUCCGUAGCUGGUCUGAGAGGAUGAUCAGCCACACUGGAACUGAGACACGGUCCAGACUCCUACGGGAGGCAGCAGUGAGGAAUAUUGGACAAUGGGCGCAAGCCUGAUCCAGCCAUACCGCGUGGGUGAAGAAGGCCUUCGGGUUGUAAAGCCCUUUUGUUGGGAAAGAAAAGCAGCAGGUUAAUACCCCGCUGUUCUGGCGGUACCCAAAGAAUAAGCACCGGCUAACUUCGUG